AGAGUUUGAUCAUGGCUCAGGAUGAACGCUGGCGGCGUGCUUAAUACAUGCAAGUCGAGCGCCCCUUUUUGUGUCAAUUAUCUUAGAUAGUUGGUAGAGAUGGGGAGCGGCGGACGGGUGAGUAACGCGUGAGAAUCUGCCCCAAACUGAGGGAUAAGCCCGGGAAACCGGGUCUAAUACCGCAUAUGGCCUUCGGGUUAAAGCUUCGGCGGUUUGGGAAGAGCUUGCGUCUGAUUAGCUUGUUGGUAGGGUAAUGGCCUACCAAGGCAAUGAUCAGUAGCUGGUCUGAGAGGAUGAUCAGUCACACUGGAACUGAGACACGGUCCAGACUCCUACGGGAGGCAGCAGUAGGGAAUUUUCCACAAUGGGCGAAAGCCUGAUGGAGCGACGCCGCGUGCAGGAUGAAUGCCUUCGGGUUGUAAACUGCUUUUAUAGGUGAAGAUUAUGACGGUAACCUAUGAAUAAGGAUCGGCUAACUCCGUGCCAGCAGCCGCGGUCAUACGGAGGAUCCAAGCGUUAUCCGGAAUUACUGGGCGUAAAGAGUUGCGUAGGCGGUUUUGUAAGCGAAUAGUGAAAUCAUGUGGCUCAACCACAUGGCCGUUAUUCGAACUACAAAACUUGAGAGUGGAAGAGGUAGUUGGAAUUCCCGG
rnacentral:rRNA from 1 species